rnacentral:rRNA from 1 species
CUUAUCGGCCACCAGCUUCAGCGCAUGCUCCAGCACAUUAACAUCGGCACCGGCUUUAUGGGCGUUUUCGCUCAGGUAGCGACGCCACUGGCGCGCCCCCGGGAUCGUAACUAUAACGGUCCUAAGGUAGCGAAAUUCCUUGUCGGGUAAGUUCCGACCUGCACGAAUGGCGUAAUGAUGGCCAGGCUGUCUCCACCCGAGACUCAGUGAAAUUGAACUCGCUGUGAAGAUGCAGUGUACCCGCGGCAAGACGGAAAGACCCCGUGAACCUUUACUAUAGCUUGACACUGAACACUGGUCCUUGAUGUGUAGGAUAGGUGGGAGGCUUUGAAGCGCGGACGCCAGUUCGUGUGGAGCCAUCCUUGAAAUACCACCCUUUAAUGGCUGGUGUUCUAACGUGGGCCCGUAAUCCGGGUUGCGGACAGUGUCUGGUGGGUAGUUUGACUGGGGCGGUCUCCUCCUAAAGAGUAACGGAGGAGCACGAAGGUUAGCUAAUCCUGGUCGGACAUCAGGAGGUUAGUGCAAAGGCAUAAGCUAGCUUGACUGCGAGCGUGACGGCGCGAGCAGGUGCGAAAGCAGGUCUUAGUGAUCCGGUGGUUCUGAAUGGAAGGGCCAUCGCUCAACGGAUAAAAGGUACUCCGGGGAUAACAGGCUGAUACCGCCCAAGAGUUCAUAUCGACGGCGGUGUUUGGCACCUCGAUGUCGGCUCAUCACAUCCUGGGGCUGAAGUAGGUCCCAAGGGUAUGGCUGUUCGCCAUUUAAAGUGGUACGCGAGCUGGGUUUAGAACGUCGUGAGACAGUUCGGUCCCUAUCUGCCGUGGGCGCUGGAGAAUUGAGGGGGGCUGCUCCUAGUACGAGAGGACCGGAGUGGACGCAUCACUGGUGUUCGGGUUGUCAUGCCAAUGGCACUGCCCGGUAGCUAAAUGCGGAAGAGAUAAGUGCUGAAAGCAUCUAAGCACGAAACUUGCUCCGAGAUGAGUUCUCCCUGACCCUUUAAGGGUCCUGAAGGAACGUUGAAGACGACGACGUUGAUAGGCCGGGUGUGUAAGCGCAGCGAUGCGUUGAGCUAACCGGUACUAAUGAACCGUGAGGCUUAACCUU